ensembl:lncRNA LOC102549780 uncharacterized LOC102549780
UAGAAUUCCAUUCCAACUGUAAGAGAAAAACAAGCCCUUCCUCAAACAAGUUCUUGUUUUCAGAUCCCAUCAACCUCUUUGGUUACCAGCUACACCACUCAGCAGCACACGAAAGGACAUGUGAUUUCCUAGAGCAGAGAACAUGUAGAAAGAACAGUCAUGCUCCAGUUUAAAAGGACAGAACUACCAACAAAGGUUGAAUUAUUGGCCAAAGGGGUUUUCUGAGAACCAUCAAACAACCCUGCGUAUUGUCAAGGUUACUGGUUGCUCUCUACAAACUGAUACGAAGGCCCCAUUGCUGAAGACAACAUCCUACAAUUCACUGAACAUGGAGAAGUAGAGCUGGUGCCUACAGAGAGCCUUCACCCCUGUGGACUAAAGCUCAUGCUCUUGAAAGGAUCAGAACAUGGAUAACAGCUACUGCUGCUGAAUGCUAAGACAUCUAGAAAUAAUCGACCCAAGGAUAACAAAGUAAGUUGGAAACAAUCUUAAGUGUUCAUGCACAGUCAUAAAGAAGUGUAUGAAUUCAGUUCCCAAGGGUAACGACUUGGCUUAUAAAAGUAUUGGAAAGACCUUCAGGUACACAGGUGCUCGGGCCUGGACCCAGGACAUAAAUUGAAAGGAAGACAGGAUGUCCCAUGUUGCUUAGUGUCUCUGAUAA